UUAAAGAAAAUCGAGUAAGGAUAUUGUUGGUGUCCUUAACUCAAGAAUUUUAGUUUUCAAUUAUUAUUCAUUAAAUUUUUGAAAACCCGGCGUGAUAAAUCAUAGUAGUUAAGUGCACCCACUAAGACUUUAAGUUAGCUUCACGAGACCUAUUAAGAAUAGAAUUUCUUGUAGGCUUUGUGACCAGGGGGAUUAGCGCUGCUUUCCCAAGACAGGUUUAUAUGUGAUUAUGAUCUUCAGGCUUUGCCUAACCAGGUUGGCUGGCCGGUGCUGACGGGACGGAGCUGAGGCUAGCGAUAAAUUCCUAUGUUAGACUUCCGCUGUAGCAAUUACUCAUAUCAGUCUUUUGUUUUCUCAACUUAAGAUCUUCAUGUUAAAUUUCAAAUGAUAUACCUGACCGAGCUUAGACUCUUCACUACUAAAUUUAUGCUAAUGAAUGUCGGUUGUCAGAAGCAUGAAACAAAACUUGUGAUCCAAAGGGGCAUAGCCCGACUCUCUAUCUUAUUAUUCGGGUUUUAACAAGGUUGUUCCUUGUUUAUUUCUAUGAA